rnacentral:tRNA from 1 species
GCCCAGCUAGCUCAGUCGGUAGAGCGUGCGACUCCUAAUCUCAGGGUCGUGGGGUCGAGUCCCACGUCGGGCG